UCCUUACCAUUCGCUUUCAUCUGACCACUCCAAAGAUCCUAGAAGAUGCAGAAAUCAGGAAAGAACAUGUUGAACACUGUAGUUCCUUUAUAAUCUUAGACACAAACAUUAGGUUGUAUUUAAAAUUUGGGAUAUAAAGUACAUUAGAUAUGUCCUAACCCUCAAACACAGAACCUUUUCCUGUAUGGGAUACAAAAGCUACAUCAACUGUGGGUAAAUGAACCUUACUCCUUUAAGAUUCAGGUAUCUGUUUAAAAGUUUUCAACAUUUCUAAGGCAGAUGCCAUAUGAUCUGUUGCUCCUGUGUCUAUUAUCCACUCUUUAUUAACACAACAAGUGAAUAGAGCUUUCAUAGUACCUGCUGCAGCAACUAUUUUUACAGAUGGCCCGUCAUCACAUCCCUUAUUUAGUAGUUAAAUGAUCUGCUGAUACUGUUCUUGUGUACAGAAUGGAGCUGAUGACUGUGUCAUAGGAAUAUCAGCUGGUGUGGGACCAUUCCUUCCUUGUUGUUGUGUCUGAAGUAAAGUUGGUGGAGUUGGACUUCUCACAUAGUUUGCUGUUGUUGAGUUAGCAUCAGAAUUACAAGCAUAGUUUGCAAAAUUACCUGAAUUACC
rnacentral:lncRNA from 1 species